rnacentral:rRNA from 1 species
CAGUAGCCGCGGGAAUACGUAGGUGGCAAGCGUUAUCCGGAAUUAUUGGGCGUAAAGCGCGCGUAGGCGGUUUUUUAAGUCUGAUGUGAAAGCCCACGGCUCAACCGUGGAGGGUCAUUGGAAACUGGAAAACUUGAGUGCAGAAGAGGAAAGUGGAAUUCCAUGUGUAGCGGUGAAAUGCGCAGAGAUAUGGAGGAACACCAGUGGCGAAGGCGACUUUCUGGUCUGUAACUGACGCUGAUGUGCGAAAGCGUGGGGAUCAAACAGGAUUAGAGACCCCAGUAGUCCCUGUCUCUUAUAC